UGGUUAUUUCUUUCCCGCACUUAGUAGUUUUCUUAAUAAUGGUUCAGUUAGCUGGUCUUAUAUAUGCUUGGAUGUAUGUGAACUGUGGUGUUGGUUUCUUCUAUGCAUGGGAGUGGAGUUUUCGAUCUGUGGUUUUGGUUCUGUGGAGAUUUGGUUUUCUUGUAGUUAUGCAUCGUGGUUUUCUACCCCUUGAGGUAGUCGGUUUUCAAAAUAAAGUUUCCGGGUAGGAAACAGUUUUCAAAAUGAUUUUCGAAUGGUUUUAGGAAUGAAUGAAUUAGAGUUUAAAAACAAAAUCUUCCGGGUGGGGAGCACUUUUAAAUAGGAUGUUUGUUGUAUUGCGCAUUGCAUCAUCCAGCGCCUAAGGAGGGUUUAGAGGCAUGCAUCAUUUUAAGGAUCGAUAGCUGUAUGGAAAUGCAUAUCAUGUUUGGUUGUUGAUUGGUAAAUGUAGGUUGUAGUUGAGAUCCUGUUGUAUGGCUGGUACGCCGUGCAAAUACAAAGGAGACUCUGUCCUAGUGGACAGAGGAACUUUGUAUUUGUGGCGGGUCUGUACGUCGCGUGGGCCAGGUUGAAAAAAAAAAAAUAUGGCACGCUUUCCGCAACUCUGUUUUCAAAAGGCUUUUAAAAUCGGCCCCGAAGCGUGACAAUAUAUCAGAAGAAAUCAGGGGAAUUUAAGAUCUGAAAUAUAUCAAGGUAUUAGAGAUGCUGUUGUUGAAGGAGAUAUAGAUGGUAAUGCUAUUGGCAAACGGAUUAU
rnacentral:lncRNA from 1 species